UGGUGAGAGUGGACAUCUUUGUCAUGUUCCUAAUUUUGGAGAACUGCUUAGCUUGGUGGCUGUGGCUGAGUCUCUUGUUUAGUCUCAGUGAGAUGUCAACUGGGGCCCUAGUCACUCAAAGUAUGGCCUGAGUUUGGAGGAUUUCAUUCUAAGAGGACUUCCUCCUAGGAAGGUAUUGGCAGAUUGUAGGAGGACUCCGUUCCUUACACAGAGGCCUCUCCAUAGGACUGCCGGAGUGGCCUCAGGAUAUGGAAGCUGGCUCCUGAGAGGUUUAAGAUCUGGACCACAAGGGACUUGAAGAUCCUUCCAGAUCCAACACCUGCUGGGUGAAGGAGAUAUCAAGGAUUCUACCUGGAAGAAUGGGAUCCUCUCCAGGGAAACGCCUGUGACCUGCAUCUCUACUCAACCCGACUAGGGGGCAAGUCCCACUCAGGAGAUUCCACAAGAUUUUCAUAAAAGAAAUAUUUGAAAUCAUCAUUUCUAAGUCGUUCUGACACUUCAAAAUUAGAGGCGAUUUUGAAAAGUGACUCCAAAGUUUAAGUUUAAAUAUUUGAUUAGAUCAACCAUGACCCAGAGCAAAGGGUCAUGCACUGUUAGGACACCCAAGGUCCUGCUUCAAGACAUGCAGGGUUCUCUGAAGCUGUGUGCAGAUUUCCCAUCCACCUGUUUGACUAUAUGCACAGGUGCAGGGAAUGUUAUAUAUAUUAUAAAUAUACAUGAUCCUUCCCACUCAUGGGAAGAAUGUCCAUGGAUUUUUGAAAGCAACCGAAAGUCUUUAAAAUGCUUAGGAAGAACUACUGUAUAUAUGGAAGGUAAAAACCAUUGAACUCAUGAGACCUAUAUUCCAGGUCAGUUUUUCCCCCUGAAUACAUCCAUAAUCUCAAAUAUAAAAACAUGAUGUCCUCUGAAAGAGGGGAACACUAUCACUUUGAAGAUUCAAAUCAUACUUAUAUUUCUUUUAUCAUUUUGAGAUUAAAUGGCAUAAAGAAAUGGACUUGUCCUUCCUUUUUCCUUUACAGAUGAGGAAACUGUUAGUCUCUGAGCAAAUAAGUGAUUCACCCCUACCUUACCAUCUGGGAGCUACUCAUUAGAAAGUUGUGAUAGUUCAUGGUCUAUAGCAUGCCACACUGACAAAACACAUAAGCACAUCCUCUGAUCUCUGGCUAAUGAAAUAAACCAUGAAAUAAUAAAAAACUUACGUAUUUUUAAAAAGGCAGAAAUGAUCAUUUGUGAUGGAUCGGAUUUUAUACCUAGAGAAACCAACUGAAGGAAAAAACAUUGCAGCGGCUGCCUCCCGCAUGAGUGAGGAAGCUGACCUGAGCUCAGGAAUUACGUCAGACCCCAGGUUUAGUGAACAGAAGCAGCUGUACUUGAAACCUAGGCUUUCCAACUGUGAGGACCCUGGCUGUUCAGUCCACAAAGGGUCUUUCAUUAGACAUCAAUAAGAGAUUUUUAGCAACGUAUUAUGGAAUUUUAAAUUGUUAGUUUUAUAAUGUGAAUUGGGUUCACAUUUUGUUUACCUUCUAAAAUAAUUUGUGUUACUUCCCCCUUUUAAGUUUUAAAUAACUAAUAACCCAUGUACUAGAAAUAAGCUCCUAUGACCAUUCUCAAGUUCUCUCUUUGUUAUGGUCCUUUCCCUGUGUCCAUUUUCUUCGGUCAUAUUCAGUUCUAUGUGUAUUGCAAAGAGCCCACAUAGUGCAACCAGGGAAUGUCCUGGAAAUAUGUGCAUUUUUUUUUUUUGCUUUGUGUUUCUGGGUUUGUCAUGGUAUUGGGGGUACAGUGUCAACAACUACAGAGGCUCUGUCUUCAGUGACAAUGGUGAGGAAGUGGGGCAAAUAAACUGGCAACUAAACUUCACUGUGAUAAUUUAGCAGUUUAUUUCUAGUACACUUUACUAUGUAUCAUCUUCUUAUAAUAUCAAACCAUGUUUCUGAGGUAUUGCUCUUCUAAUUCCCAAUAUGCACUUGACAUUUUCCUUUUAUUGAUUAAAUUUGCUAUCUGUCUAAAAUUCA